GGUUCGGUGGUGUAGUGGUUAUCACGUCUGUCUCACACCAGUGAGGUGUACACAGGAGGUCCCCGGUUCGAGACCGGGUCGAACCA